CACUUAUGGAGGCCAACUGCUGUUAAACCACAUGAAGAAGCCUUGUUAAACGUUUCAGAGAGACGGUUGGCACCAUAGACAUAAUAGAAUCUACUUGAUGUUCCUCCAGUACUUGCCGCUCAUCAUCCAAGUGCACAGCCACAUUAGUCUCCAGUGUGACCGAAGAUGUGUCCCCAUCAGCUAGGCUUACCAUGGGGGCCAUCUCCUCGAGAGAGAGACUCGUGGAGAAGCCUCCCUCUCAUCCACGAGUCCCUCUUCCAGCUGAAGCUGAGCCUGGCUGGAUGCAUCCAGCUGCUCUUCAUGGUCCAUAUUCUCGACGACAUUAUUUGGCUAAGUAAGCUUCACUGAAAGCAGCAAUAGCAAAGACAGGAAGGUAAAUGGUGAGUUGCACGACUCGACUAGUGAGCAGGAAGUAGCCUAUUACAGCUUCAUGUUAAUGCAUGAAUAAUAAUAAUAAUCCAAUAAUUAAAUAAUAUAACCAUGGCAGGGAUCAUUCUGCACAAUAUGUACUUUUACUUUUGAUACUUUAAAUACAUUUGUUGCUAAUAUUUCUGAACUCUAACUUCACUAAAAAAUAAAUGUGUAGGUAUCAUUAUAAUAUAAGACUAGAUUUGCAUGAAAGAGAAUUCUCAUAGUAAUUUAAAGGAUCAGUUCAA